rnacentral:rRNA from 1 species
UACGGAGGGAGCUAGCGUUAUUCGGAAUUACUGGGCGUAAAGCGCACGUAGGCGGCUUUGUAAGUUAGAGGUGAAAGCCUGGAGCUCAACUCCAGAAUUGCCUUUAAGACUGCAUCGCUUGAAUCCAGGAGAGGUGAGUGGAAUUCCGAGUGUAGAGGUGAAAUUCGUAGAUAUUCGGAAGAACACCAGUGGCGGAAGGCGGCUCACUGGCUCGUAACUGACGCUCAGGCGCGACAGCGUGGGGAUCAAACAGG